rnacentral:rRNA from 1 species
CCCUUAGAUGUUCUGGGCCGCACGCGCGCUACACUGAUGCAUUCAACGAGUCUAAAACCUGGUCUGAUAGGGCUGGGUAAUCUUUUGAAUGUGCAUCGUGAUUGGGAUAGAUGAUUGCAAUUCUUCAUCUUCAACGAGGAAUGCCUAGUAAACGCAAGUCAUCAGCUUGCAUUGAUUACGUCCCUGCCCUUUGUACACACCGCCCGUCGCUCCUACCGAUUGAAUGUUCCGAUGAAUACCAUGGACUGUGAGUAUGAAUGGGUUCGCCUAUUUCUGCUUCUCGGGAAGUGGAGUAAAUCUUAACAUUUAGAGGAAGGAGAAGUCGUAACA